rfam:[Clostridium] litorale DSM 5388 strain W6 CLIT_20c, whole genome shotgun sequence.
GGGAGGCUUGGAAAGUGGAACGCAAGUUUCGCUGGAGCCGUCCUUGGGAUACCACCCUUGCAGUAUUGAGGUUCUAACCAUGUACCGUGAAACCGGUACUGGGACACUGUCUGACGGGCAGUUUGACUGGGGCGGUCGCCUCCUAAAGAGUAACGGAGGCGCCCAAAGGUUCCCUCAGCACGGUCGGAAAUCGUGCGAAGAGUGCAAAGGCAUAAGGGAGCUUGAUUGCGAGACAUACAGGUCGAGCAAGGACGAAAGUCGGGCUUAGUGAUCCGGUGGUUCCGAGUGGAAGGGCCAUCGCUCAACGGAUAAAAGCUACCCCGGGGAUAACAGGCUUAUCUCCCCCAAGAGUCCACAUCGACGGGGAGGUUUGGCACCUCGAUGUCGGCUCGUCUCAUCCUGGGGCUGGAGUAGGUCCCAAGGGUUGGGCUGUUCGCCCAUUAAAGAGGCACGCGAGCUGGGUUCAGAACGUCGUGAGACAGUUCGGUCCCUAUCCGUCGCAGGCGUAGGAAAUUUGAGAGGAGCUGUCCUUAGUACGAGAGGACCGGGAUGGACGCACCUCUGGUGCACCAGUUGUCACGCCAGUGGCACAGCUGGGUAGCUAUGUGCGGAAUGGAUAAGCGCUGAAGGCAUCUAAGCGCGAAGCCAACCUCAAGAUAAGAUUUCCCACUUCAUAGAAGGUAAGAUCCCAGAAAGACUAUCUGGUUGAUAGGCCCAGGGUGUAAGUGCAGCAAUGCAUUCAGCUGAUGGGUACUAAUAGAUCGAGGACUUGACCAA